rnacentral:lncRNA from 1 species
GUGGGAAUACAAUUGGAGCCACAAAUGUAGCAAAGAAUAGGGACACAACUAAGCCUGUAAAAGUGCAAGUAAAUGCAACAUGUAGGGGGUAGAAAAUGUAAUAUAAAAAUCUGUAAAAGGACCACAUAGAUACAGAGAGUAGAAAAAGGAGAAGAGUGUCUUAAAUUACAAAGAACCCGAGGAUCAGGGGGACUUUUUCUUCCUUUCUUUUUCUUUCAAGAUUUGUAUCUUUUUUUUUUUUGGUGACACGCGAGAGAACAGUCUACAUCGAUAGCUACAGCAAUAGAGCAGGGGCUAUAAGAGCAUCCACGCAAAGGGGUUUAAGAUUGGGGUACGACCCGGACAAAACGGGUUACAAAUCCAAUUACCCAAUUGGUUAAUGCCCCGACAUCUGUUUCCUAUCUUCUUUUGGAAAGUCUCGACCUUCACGCUCUUUCCUGGAGCGUCCUCUCUAAUCUUCAUUCUUUUUUUUUUUGGGACAAGACAGGAGUUACGUGCGUGGAAGCACGCGCUGUUGCAUACAGUAAGGGUGAUGGUGUUUUGUUUUCUAGGAGAAGAGUAAAUGAUUUUCGUAAGAAGAAAAGUUUUACUUUACUUUUCUUUUCUGACUGAUUACUAUUUCAGGCCUUUAAACGCAGCUUUAAUCAGUUGUGUCAGUGCUACCCAGCGCACUAAGAUUGAUUCAUAAUUAAAUUAGGUGGUGCGUUUUCAAUUUGAUGCAGUAUUUGUUUUGUUUUGUUUUUAUUUGUUUUAUGAAACCACCAAACUUGCUUUUCUUGACAAUUUUGAAGUAAUAUGUUUAGAUCAUGCAAUUUAGAAAUGAUAUCGUAUUUUGUGUUGGAAUGGUACAGAACAUUUUGUAUUAUUAAAAUGAAAUGAGAUGAAAUCGUAUAUGAGUUUAAAAUAUAACAAUGUUAAAAGAUGGAAUUCCAAGUCAGCGUAAUGAGAUGUCUCAGUAUAUCCGUUCUGCUAUAGGCUGGAAGUUCAAUACAGCGUUAUUGGUCAACGACAAGAAAAUACAUUUUAUAAGACGAUUACGACUUCUGACAUUAUGGAACAUUUGAACGUCGAUACCAAGAAGAUGACUUCUUAAUGCUACUAGCAACAUUGACAAUAGGGGUGGGCGUUCGGGUAUCCGUUCGGGUUCGGGUCGGGUAUUUCGGAUUUUCGGGUAUUUCGGUAUAGAGGUGUAGAACCCGUUCGGGUAUUUCUGUACUUCGGGUCGGGUUCGGAUAUUUUUAGUUCGGGUUCGGUUAUUUCGGAUCGGGUUCGGAUAUUUAGAUUUAAAAAAAAACAAAAUUAAAUUAAAAUUUUCAAAUUUCUUGUAUUUAAAAAUAUAACUUUCACUUCACUAAUCUUUUAUUUUUAAUAGAUUGAAUGGUUAAUAGAUUUG